CAAUCGAAAAUUUUGUGUCGUCGGUCACGGUGCGACUUAGCUGCGGUCCCACCUCUAUAGGUAUAACCUGAAAAGAAAGCAUUGCCGUAAGCUUCUUGAGAAGCAUUUCUUUAAACGACAGCGGUACCGAAGGCGACUAUUAAGGAGACGGCAGUUAACCUAAAUGUUGCUACUUAAUGUAACUAUAUUAGAAGGGACUGCUCAAUUUAAAGAUAAUCUGAGCCAGAAAGUUACUUGCUCACGUUCUGAAGAGAAAACGGAACAGUGACUAUUCAAAAUUAAAAGAAUGGAAAGCGCGAAGAAACGAGUUUAUUAAAGUGAUAGAAGCCGAUAAAAAAGGUAUUAAUAACUAAACUUAAAGUUAAAAUAGCU